rnacentral:rRNA from 1 species
GAUGAACGCUGGCGGCGUGCCUAAUACAUGCAAGUCGAGCGAACAGACGAGGAGCUUGCUCCUCUGACGUUAGCGGCGGACGGGUGAGUAACACGUGGAUAACCUACCUAUAAGACUGGGAUAACUUCGGGAAACCGGAGCUAAUACCGGAUAAUAUAUUGAACCGCAUGGUUCAAUAGUGAAAGACGGUUUUGCUGUCACUUAUAGAUGGAUCCGCGCCGCAUUAGCUAGUUGGUAAGGUAACGGCUUACCAAGGCAACGAUGCGUAGCCGACCUGAGAGGGUGGUCGGCCACACUGGAACUGAGACACGGUCCAGACUCCUACGGGAGGCAGCAGUAGGGAAUCUUCCGCAAUGGGCGAAAGCUUGACGGAGCAAGGCCGCGUGAGUGAUGAAGGUCUUCGGAUCGUAAAACUCUGUUAUUAGGGAAGAACAAAUGUGUAAGUAACUAUGCACGUCUUGACGGUACCUAAUCAGAAAGCCACGGCUAACUACGUG